CGCUCUUCGCAAAGUAUUCUAAUGUAUGAAGAGUCCUGCCUGCCCAGUGACUUUUAGUUAAACGGCCGCGGUAUCUUGACCGUGCAAAGGUAGCAUAAUCAUUUGCCUCUUAAAUAGGGGCUGGUAUGAAUGGCAAGACGGGGUUUGACUGUCUCUUCUUUGAUGAGUUUAAUUUAAUUUUCUUGUGAAGAAGCAAGGAUGUAGUCGUAGGACGAGAAGACCCUGUCGAGCUUGAACAAAAAAUGAGUGUAGGCGUUGAAAAUAUUCUUUUGCUAAUUUACCCCAGAGGGGAAAGGAUUUCUACUUUAGAUAUUGGUACGUUGUGUGCUUUAUGUUUUGAUUGGGGCAAUCACGGAGAAGAAGUACCCUCCGUUAUAGAAAAAUUAAUGUUGUAAAGAAACUUCUUUAGGAUGUAUAAAUACAUAUUUAUGAUCCACAGGUUGAGUGAGUAAAGGAAUAAGUUACCGCAGGGAUAACAGCGUAAUUUUUUUGGAGAGUUCAUAUUGAUAAGAAAGUUUGCGACCUCGAUGUUGGAUCGGGAUUUCCAGGAGAUGCAGCAGUUUCCAAGGGUUGGUCUGUUCGACCAUUAAAAUCCU
rnacentral:rRNA from 1 species